rnacentral:rRNA from 1 species
UACGUAGGCAGCAAGCGUUGUUCGGAAUUACUGGGCGUAAAGAGUGUGUAGGCGGUGCUCUAAGUUUGUCGUGAAAUCUCCCGGCUUAACUGGGAGGGUGCGGCGAAAACUGGAGUGCUAGAGGGUGGGAGAGGAAAGCGGAAUUCCUGGUGUAGCGGUGAAAUGCGUAGAUAUCAGGAGGAACACCUGCGGUGUAGACAGCUGUCUGGACCACUUCUGACGCUGAGACACGAAAGCGUGGGUAGCAAACAGG